GGCGCCACGCUCUCAUGCUCCGGCUCGGAGUGGGUAGGGUAACCGAUAACCGAACGCUCAACCGAAAUACCCGACCUCUUAUCCGCUCAGCUACUGACCUCCGCUCCUCCAGCUCCAGGUUCCUCCAGCUCCGGGCGGCGCUUGUCGCCCCCGGCGGCAGCGCCUCCUCCUCCACUUGCCCGCUCCCCCGGCCCCGAUUCCUCCCGGCUGCAAGACUGUAGAUCGAUACAUCUAGCACCAGGUGCGGCCUCUGCUCGUCCUUUGCUGUGGCAAGGGUGGAGCAGCGGAAUCGAUCCCCGCAUCGCGGAAGAGCUCGCAGCCUCUUAUCCACUCCACCUCUGUCCAGUGACCGCCGCCGCCUUCUAGCUGGGUGGAAGAAACAUGUCAAGAAUGGCGCCUCCGUCCUCUCCCCUGUCCAUGAAGCCCCCGACGCUGCCCUUCUCCCCUCCCAAGAAGCCGGCGCCGAUGCCGGUGUACAAGGACCUGCACUUCAACCGCGACCUCUCCGCUACCAAGAAGCUCCAGGCCGGGGUGGACCUGGUGGCGCGGUUGGUGGGGGUCACCCUGGGGCCCAAUGGGAGGAACGUGGUGCUUGGCAACAAGUAUGGCCCUCCCAAGAUUGUCAACGAUGGGGAGACCGUCCUUAAGGAGAUCGAAUUGGAGGAUCCAUUAGAAAAUCUUGGAGUGAAGCUGGUCAGGCAGGCUGGUGCAAGGACCAAUGAUAUUGCAGGAGAUGGUUGUACCACUUCCAUAAUCCUUGCUCGAGGCCUGAUUGCUGAAGGAAUGAAGGUUCUUGCAGCAGGAAUCAACCCAGUUCAGGUUGCACGUGGUAUUGAGAAGACUGCUGCCGCUUUGGUGUCUGAACUCAGAGUAAUGUCACGGGAGAUUGAAGACCAUGAACUUGCACAUGUGGCUGCAGUUAGCGCAGGAAAUGAUUAUGCUGUUGGAAAUAUGAUUUCUGAUGCUUUUCAAAGAGUAGGUAGAAAAGGAAUGGUGAGAAUUGAAAAUGGAAGAGGCACCGAAAACAGUCUGGAUGUUGUUGAAGGAAUGCAAUUUGAACGUGGUUACCUCUCGCCCUACUUUGUUACUGAUCGUGCAAAUAUGACGGUGGAGUUCACAGACUGUAAGGUAAGGGCAAGUUGUUAGGUUGAUCUCCUUCCUAAUAGGCCCAACGGCCUAUUAGGCCCUUAAACCGCGCCCUGAUCGGGGGCGUCCAACCCUUAAUGGUUGGUGGGCCCCCGCUGCACAGCGCCAAAAUAAAAGGGGUGAGGGGCCGGCGGCACACGGCACGAGGUUCGCCGUGCCGCCUACACCCUCACCCACAGAAACCCUAAGCCGAUCUACUAGGGGGCGCUGGAGCAGUGGGAAUCCGCCGCCGCUGCAGUCGACUCCGUCUAGCCGUCGCUGCUACCGUCCUCGACACCGUCGCCCCUGCAUCGACCUCACUGCGUCACUCGUCGCCGCCUUUGAGCGGAUCUCCAUCAGCGAACAAGGGAUGGCCGGCUCAAACUCCUCUGGUGGCGCCGAAGAUUCUAUUGGUUGACAAGAAAAUUACUGAUGCUAGUGAAAUUAUAAGGAUACUGGAUAGUGCUGUCAAAGAAAAUUAUCCAUUAUUAAUAGUUGCUGAGGAUGUGGAAGAAACAGCAAUGGCUGAUUUGAUAAAAAACAAGCUGAAAGGGACAAUUAAGGUUGCAGCAGUUAAGGCCUUCUCUUUUGGGGAGCAAAAGACUCAAUGCUUGGAAGAUGUUGCAGUCAUGACGGGAGUCACCAACAAAUUCUUGUUGGUUUUCAGGUACAGUAGUGAGGGAUGACAUGGCAUAUUCAUUGGAAAAGGCAGGAAAAGAGGUUCUGGGUUCUGCUUCUAAGGUGGUUAUCAGGAAAGAUUCAACACUAAUUGUUACUGAUGGAAGCACUCGUCAUGCAGUUGAGAAAAGAGUUGCUAUGAUAAAAGGACAAAUUGAGAACUCAAAGGAAAGGUACAACAAGAAAAUAUUGGGUGAGAGGAUAGCAAGGUUAUGUGGUGGAAUUGCAAUCAUCCAGGUUGGUGCUCAGACAGUCAUUGAGAUGAAAGAUAAGAAGCUGAGAAUUGAAGAUGCUCUUAAUGCAACUAGGGUACCUUGAUUAAUUCAAUCUACACGUGUAUCAUGUGUGGUUCGGUAAAUACAGUUUCGAACAAUUGUUUUUUAUAUAAUUCAGGCAGCUAUUGAGGAAGGUGUUGUAAUUGGUGGUGGAUGUAGCCUACUAAGAUUAUCAAAGAAGAUUGACGCAACCAAGGAAUCAUCAUUGGAUAAUAUAGAGCAAAAGAUUGGUGCUGACAUCUUCAAGCAAGCCUUGAGUUACCCUACCUCACUGAUAGCAAACAAUGCGGGGAUGAAUGGUAAUUUUGUCGUUGAAAAGGUGUUAUUGAAUGACAACACAAAUUAUGGUUACAAUGCUGCCACGAACCGCUAUGAGGACUUGAUGGCUGCUGGAAUACUGGAUCCAUCAAAGGUUGUGAGAUGUUGCAUUGAGCAUGCUGCUGUGGUUGCAAAGUCUUUUCUCACUUCUGAUGUGGUGAUUGUUGAGGCAAAAGAAAGCAAACCAAUUCGAAUAAGGCCCCCAAUGCCACCUAGGAGCUUGAUCCCCCCAAUACCUGCCUCAGUUUCAGGUAUUCGAGUGUAGCAAGCUUCAUUUCCACAGAUUGACCUCAAUAUGACAAAAACUACAUGGACGAAAUUCUUUUGCAAAAAAUGCAUGUAAUAGAGAAGAGAAUGCUGGAAAUUUCAAUUGAUAUUCUUAUCUCCUCCCACACUCUGUGGAUAUGUUUAUCUUCUUUGGGGGAGGCUAGCUAUGUAAAUAGCUCGAGUCGGUUUAGAUUGUUCACAUAAGUUGCAUUGUACGACCAGAGUUGCUACUCAUUUUGUAAAUAUUUCUAGCAAAUUCCUCAAAUACUUAUGUAUAUUUAUAAAAUGAGUAGAAAACUCACAUAAUCUACACAGUUUGGUUGACCA